rnacentral:rRNA from 1 species
GACGAACGCUGGCGGCGUGCUUAACACAUGCAAGUCGAACGGAAAGGCCCUGAUUUUGUGGGGUGCUCGAGUGGCGAACGGGUGAGUAACACGUGAGUAACCUGCCCUUGACUUUGGGAUAACUUCAGGAAACUGGGGCUACUAUCGUAUCGGAGCUCCUGCUGCAUGGUGGGGGUUGGAACGUUUCGGCGGUUGGGGAUGGACUCGCGGCUUAUCAGCUAGUUGGUGGGGUAGUGGCUUACCAAGGCAGUGACGGGUAGCCCGCCUGAGAGGGUGGCCGGCCACAUUGGGACUGAGAUACGGACCAGACUCCUACGGGAGGCAGCAGUGGGGAAUAUUGCACAAUGGGCGGAAGCCUGAUGCAGCAGCGCCGCGUGCGGGAUGACGGCCUUCGGGUUGAAAACCGCAUUAGCCUGUGACCAAGCGUGAGUGACGGUAAUGGGUAAAGAAGCACCGGCUAACUACGUG